rnacentral:rRNA from 1 species
CCCUAGAGGAGCCUGUUCCAUAAUCGAUAAACCCCGAUCCACCUCACCCUCUCUUGCUUAGCCUAUAUACCGCCAUCUUCAGCAAACCCUGAUAAAGGUUACAAAGUGAGCACAAACGCCCUGCCGCCGCAAAAACGUUAGGUCAAGGUGUAGCCCAUGAGGGGGGUAAAAAUGGGCUACAUUUUCUACAUCAGAAAACCCCACGAAAACUCUUAUGAAACCUAAGAGUCCAAGGAGGAUUUAGCAGUAAAUUAAGAAUAGAGUGCUUAAUUGAACCAGGCCAUAAAGCGCGUACACACCGCCCGUCACUCCCCUCAAAUGUAUUUAAAGGACAUCUUAACUAAACACCCUAAUAUUUACAUAGAGGGGAUAAGUCGUAACAUGGUAAGUGUACUGGAAGGUGCACUUGGAU